rnacentral:lncRNA from 1 species
UUUAUCAUCUCAAUUCUCAAAUGAAAUAUGUGAAAGUGGACUUUGCUUCCUAGAAUGUGUCGAUAAUUUACAAGGGUAUGUCUCUGACUUUGAUUUGCAUUUUUCGUUUUCUAUUGCUUCAGGCUUUGCCCUUAAUCCCUUAAACUGAUGCCCUUUUGAAAUUUCACUGUUCUUUUUGUAAUGAUGUCGUUUCCAGGAUAAAAAUAAUUCGGAUAGUUUGAUCUUUCUGUCAUUGGUUUAUAGUUUCUGGUACUGAGAGGUACAACUUGAAAGAAAAAAGCUAGUUUUUGAAAUUUUGGACAAUACAAGUCAACUGUCAUAUGAUUUUCUUAUUGAGAUAUUAACAAACACAUUUUUCUGCCAAACCCGCAAAACACAUUACUGCCAAAACUGCAAAAUGACGCAUUUCUUCGCUAAAACUACAAAAAAGCAUUUUCGUCAAAACCGCCAAAACAUAUUUUCCCACUAAAACUACAAAAACGUAUUUUUCCCAAAAUCAUAGAACGUUUUUUUUGCCAAAAUGCAAAAAUGCAUUUUCCCGCCCAAAAUACAUUUUCCGGCAAAACCGCAAAACUUAUUUUUUCGGCAGAACCGCAAAACACAUUUCCCCUCGACACCGCAAAACAUAUUUUCUGCUAUAACCACAAAAAUAUAUUUUUCCCGCCAAAAUCGAAAAAUCACGUUUUCAAUCAAAGCCACAAAAAUCAUAUUUUUUAACUGAAACUGCAAAAUUUAUUUUCGCCAAAAAAAAAAAAAAAUUCUCAACAAACCUCAAAGUAAUAAUAAUAAUAAUAAUAAUAAUAAUAAUAAUAAUAAUAAUAAUAAUAGUUAUUAUUAUUAUUAUUAUUAUUAUUAUUAUUAUUAUUAUUAUUUUGUCAACAACAUAAACAGACUCAUAUAGACUCUGUAAACCAAACUCGUAGCUCCACAUCUAUAUGAACAACAAACGACGGUUGUUUUCUGCGUGCGAGACUGUCAGUCCUUGAAUUUUGCGUUUGUGGUAUAUGGAUGAGCUCUGAGCUGUUGAAACUUCUCUUCAAGAUUUGUAUGUCCUCC